UAGGGAAUCUUCCGCAAUGGACGAAAGUCUGACGGAGCAACGCCGCGUGAGUGAAGAAGGAUUUCGGUUCGUAAAACUCUGUUGUUAGGGAAGAAAAAAUGUAUAGUAACUAUAUACAAAAGAGACGGUACCUAACCAGAAAGCCACGGCUAACUACGUGCCAGCAGCCGCGGUAAUACGUAGGUGGCAAGCGUUGUCCGGAAUUAUUGGGCGUAAAGCGCGCGCAGGUGGUUUAGAAAGUCUGAUGUGAAAGCCCACGGCUCAACCGUGGAGGGUCAUUGGAAACUAAUAGACUUGAGUGCAGGAGAGAAAAGUGGAAUUCCUAGUGUAGCGGUGAAAUGCGUAGAGAUUAGGAGGAACACCGGUGGCGAAAGCGGCUUUUUGGCCUGCAACUGACACUGAGGCGCGAAAGCGUGGGGAGCAAACGGG
rnacentral:rRNA from 1 species